GACGAACGCUGGCGGCGUGCCUAAUACAUGCAAGUCGAACGCAUUUUCUCUCAACGUAGCUUGUUAUCCCGAAAGAAAGUGAGUGGUGAACGGGUGAUUAACACGUGUGUAAUCUGCCCAUCAUCGGGGGAUAACACUUGGAUACAGGUGCUAAUACCGCACAACUCCAUUUACCGCAUGGUAGAUGGAUGAAUGGCGCUUUUCUGUCACUGAUGGAUGGACCCGCGGUGCUUUAGCUAGUCGGUGGGGUAACGGACUACCAAGGCUGCGAUGCAUAGCCGACCUGAGAGGGUGGUCGGCCGCACUGGGACGGAGACACGGCCCAGACUGCCUCAGGUAGGAGCAGUAGGGAAUCGUGGGCAAGGGGCGGGAAUCUGACCGCGAUGCGCCGCGGGAGUGAAGAAGGUUGUCGGAUUGGGAAAGUCGGUUGUUGGGGAAGAACAAGGAUGAGAGUGGAAAGUUCAUCCAUUGACGGUAACUAAUCAGAAAGCCACGGCUAACUACGUG
rnacentral:rRNA from 1 species